rfam:Citrus sinensis cultivar Ridge Pineapple sweet orange scaffold00134_contig_10, whole genome shotgun sequence.
AUGCAAUGAUGUAAUUUCGUAGUGUACCAGAGAGGGGUUCUAUUGAGCCCGUUUGUGACGGCAACACAACCCUCUAAGAAGUUCUGAGCUU